rnacentral:rRNA from 1 species
GCAAUGCCGCGUGUGUGAAGAAGGCCUCUCGGGUUGUAAAGCACUUUUGUCCGGAAAGAAAUCCUUGGCUCUAAUACAGUCGGGGGAUGACGGUACCGGAAGAAUAAGCACCGGCUAACUACGUGCCAGCAGCCGCGGUAAUACGUAGGGUGCGAGCGUUAAUCGGAAUUACUGGGCGUAAAGCGUGCGCAGGCGGUUUGCUAAGACCGAUGUGAAAUCCCCGGGCUCAACCUGGGAACUGCAUUGGUGACUGGCAGGCUAGAGUAUGGCAGAGGGGGGUAGAAUUCCACGUGUAGCAGUGAAAUGCGUAGAGAUGUGGAGGAAUACCGAUGGCGAAGGCAGCCCCCUGGGCCAAUACUGACGCUCAUGCACGAAAGCGUGGGGAGCAAACAGGAUUAGAUACCCUGGUAGUCCACGCCCUAAACGAUGUCAACUAGUUGUUGGGGAUUCAUUUCCUUAGUAACGUAGCUAACGCGUGAAGUUGACCGCCUGGGGAGUACGGUCGCAAGAUUAAAACUCAAAGGAAUUGACGGGGACCCGCACAAGCGGUGGAUGAUGUGGAUUAAUUCGAUGCAACGCGAAAAACCUUACCUACCCUUGACAUGGUCGGAAUCCU